UAAUUGAAGAGUUUGAUCAUGGCUCAGAUUGAACGCUGGCGGCAGGCUUAACACAUGCAAGUCGAGCGGUAGCACAGGGGAGCUUGCUCCCCGGGUGACGAGCGGCGGACGGGUGAGUAAUGUCUGGGAAACUGCCUGUUGGAGAGCGUGGAAACGCCAUUCCUGCUGGUGCUGGACGGCGUGACCGACCCGCAUAACCUCGGCGCCUGCCUGCGCAGCGCCGACGCGGCCGGCGUGCACGCGGUGAUCGUGCCCGCGAUCGUUCCGC
rnacentral:rRNA from 1 species